UACGGGGGGGGCAAGCGUUGUUCGGAAUUACUGGGCGUAAAGGGCUCGUAGGUGGCCAACUAAGUCAUACGUGAAAUCCCGCGGCUUAACCGGGGAACUGCGUCUGAUACUGGAUGGCUUGAGGUUGGGAGAGGGAUGCGGAAUUCCAGGUGUAGCGGUGAAAUGCGUAGAUAUCUGGAGGAACACCGGUGGCGAAGGCGGCAUCCUGGACCGGCAUUGACGCUGAGGCGCGAAAGCCAGGGGAGCAAGCGGG
rnacentral:rRNA from 1 species